AUCAGAACUCACUGGUUCAGUCUGUACUGAUCCUGGGACUACAGCGUACCCGCACUAGAAGACCGCAUGUGUGAAAUCCUGAACCAGCGUCCAAAGCCUGUGGGAGAUGAGGUGGCUCGCAGAACCUUCCAGAAAUGCCAUGUAUUAGCUCCAGGAUGAUGUGGUGAGGGUCGACGUAUUCUAAAAUCACAACCUCUAAAGACUCUCUUCUAUGAGACAUUUCACCUUAUUGGACCUGAAUUCUCUGCCGUGAGAACAACUGUUGUAGGGGGAGAUGUUGGCGUGAGGCGAGAGUGAGAAGACUGGAGCCUGGGUAACCUCGGUAGGAUCAAAUGGUCUCUGAAACUGUCAUUUGUAAAGUCAAUAUGAAAAUAUCAAACAUUUACAGAUGCCAAAUAGGCCUCUGAUAUCUGCAGGGUAGAAAGAAAACCAAUACAUCCCAGUUUGUGCCAGAUGUGAGGUCAACUCCAACAUGAAAAGCCCCAGCGAGGAGCAGCGACAUCCAAGUGAGGGCGCCAUCAGAAGUGGUGUGUGUCAGAGGAGGAACAGAAUGUACAAGCUAUGGCUGCAACCAUGUCAAGGCACCGCCAUUUGCCAUAUAAACCUCAUCUCCUGAGCCUUGUAACCACCUGAACACCUGCACAGGCUUGUCACACAGGUCAGAGAGAGGGGUGGCCAAGCCAUCAUAAAUGCCAUAACAAUAGAAGCAAUGGUUCCAGAAAUAGCCUCUAGCCAUGUGACACCUAUAUUGCCUUAUGUUUCUUCUCUAGGGGAAAAAAACCACACAGAAAGAAGAUUCACCAGCUGAAUGGUGAUGUAUGUAGGGUUAAAUAGGGCCAAAGUUUCAGUGUGGUCUAACUUCCUAGACCACCUGGUCACAAACAGAACACCAGCAAAUUGACACAGGAAUGCCAUAGCACAUGCUAAGCAGACCCUGCAGACCUGCAACCAUGACAGAGUCUCCGUCUGAACCGUGAUCAGUAUAAGAAUGGCAGCAGACCUUCUCAGUCUUAUUCAGAUUUCGCCUCAAGACCCCCCAGACACCAGAAAGGCUAAACCAACUCAUCCAAAACAAACUGUGAGACCUGCCCCUAAGGGCUCAGUGCAGUCAGUUCUCAUAGAAAGUCUUGAACAUGGUUGACUGCCUGGUCCUCCCCAGCCUUUAGUCCUUCAACUGGAGAUGUGGUUUGGGUAAAUGUGGCAUGCCUCCCCCCC
rnacentral:lncRNA from 1 species